ACAGCAGAGAGUUCGUAGGUCAGCAUGGGGCCUACAGACACUGCUGUGGGCCUCCCUGCCCCCCUCAUCACCUCACCCAGUCCCUAGCCCCAAAUGCACCCCUUAGUCACUUAAGCCACCAAUGAGCAUACCUGGAGCCCCCAAGGCCGCGCACUGCCUCUUCCCACCCUACACUCCAUCCCCAGACUUUUUCUUCCUUCUGCACCUGAACACUACCCCUCCUGAGGGAGCCCUGAGAUCCCCACUCUGUUCUCCCAGGGCCCUGUGUGCCCAGGCUCCCAGGAAAACUGCCCCAUGUGGGGACAGGGACCAGGAGCUGGAAGGAGAACAAGAUAAGACCUGUGAGCAGCCAGACAAGAGCAGUGCAGAAGGGGCUGGGGAGAUAGCUCAGUAGAAUAAGCACUUGCCUGGCAAGUGCAAGGGCCUAAGUUCAAUCCCUGGUACUAGGGGGGAAAAAAACAAAACAAAACAGUGCAGGGCCCGGGAAUGUAUGCUCCAGCAUGGGGCAGCAGGCCUGAUGCUAAACCCACCAUGUUCCUGGCCCAGCACAGAACCACGAGCAGGCCCUGUGCCCUCUUACAGCCUUGGGCCAGUCUGGUUGUUAACAUCAUAAACCUCAAAGCUAUGCUCCUGGAUUCGAACACCUGCUUGUCUACUGGUGUGUGGCCUCAAACAAGCAAUUUCUCUCUGCUGCAGUUUCCUCAGGUAUAAAAUCCAUAAAACACUAAUAAUAACAAAGCCAGGUGCUUCAGGGAGGACUGCACAAGUUAACACACAGCAAGCAGUCAAACCACUGCGCAGACAGCGGCUGGACACCCACGUUAGCUGCCACCUAGCAGCUGUCCAGGUGGGGCUGCCAGCUAGAAAGGCAGUUAGUCUAUCCGCCUAUGAGAAAGAGCAACACAGCAGGUACACAGCAGCUCGGGGCUGUCCAGGACCCCCAGGUAGUGAGGUUUCCUUGCCCGUGGUGUCAGCGGGGAUGUCAGAGCUCCGGGGUGCUGAGUGUGAGCCAUGGAAGCCCCUCACAAUCCUUUUCCAGCUCCCUAGAGCUGGGCUUAGUGGGAAGCCCUGGACAGGACGCCCUGCCCUCCCAGCCUGCCCAAAGUCCUUACCAUGUGCAGGGCACGACCACCUCCCCAGUGCUAUGGGCUCUCGAGUCAGUGGGAGAUGGGCAGGUGGCACUCUCUUGCCCUGGAAGCCGUGGGAUACUGAACACUAAGGGUGCCGAGGUCACUUGCAAGGGUAGUGGGCUGGGGAGCCUGUCCGAUUCCCACCACCAGCCUUUGGGGUCCUGGUCCCAUGCUGUUCUCCACACCUGUGUCUUUUGCCCUCCUCCCAUCCUUUUCCAACACCAGUGCUCCUCUUGGGUUCCCACCUGCACUUAGGGCCCUGGGAAGGGCCUGGCUGGGAGGCUGGAGCCGAGUGCCCUCCCCUGGGCUGGGCACCGGCGCUCUGCCACUGUGCCCUGCAGAGGUCUGAGUCUGGAAUGCACAGGCGCCUGGCCAGGGCUGGACGGAAGUCACUAGGUGUCCCAAGGGUAUUCCUGCCUGGUCAUGGGGCCCAACCAGUGCCAAAUCCAGAGCCCUGGAGACUUAAUGACAGGAAACAAGGAGGAGGAGGAGCCGGGAGGAGAGGAAGGGCAGGAAUGCUACCGGGCCAGCCCCUGUGUUGGAACAAACAGUGCCGAGGAGGCUAACACUUGUUGUUAUUCAUUUCCAAGUGCCAGGCCGCCCCCAGCCUGCCCCAGCUCCCUUGGCGCCCGCAGCUGAAGCUGCAGCACCGGCUCCCUUCCUGGUAUUAUUUUGACCUGGGAGGGCACAUCAGGAGGGGGUGACGGAUCAUGUGGCUGUGAUGGUCACUUCCUGACCUACCCUGAGGAUGAGCACAGGGCCAGAGAGUGUCCUUGUCCCCAACUCACGCACUGCACGACAUGCAAAAGCUGAAGACUGAACCUAAAGGCGUCUCUCACUUCCCAAAGGAAUGCAGGUGCCUGGAGAACUGAAGUUACUUAAGGUGCCUGCCGCGCUGCUGGCCUUGGGAGCAGGAGUUUGCAUCACUGUUCAUAUCGGGGGGGAGGGUCAGAGAUUACAUAACCUCCAGCUGGCAGAGAGAAAUCACAUUGCCUGCGUGGACUCCAAGCCCAUGUAGGCCCUUAGCACUGUGCCCCUCACCACGGUGCCCCCCUGCCCCCCUCGCCCCACGUGUAUUCUGCCCUUAGGAACGUCCUGUGGCAGCAGGUACACAGGCUGGCGGUCACAACUCCUCUUUCCCCUGCAGUCUUCCAGGGAAUGGAAGCCUCUGGGAUGAGGCAGGAAUUGGGCUACUUCAGGGGUCAAAUGUGUAGAUUUGGAUAGGACACCUCAGUUCACACGCUGGCUCUCUAGUUAACACCUGCUCCUACGGCCUUGUGUUGCUUGUCUGCCCCUGCAAUGCCUGCACUUCCUAAUCUGUAAGGUGGGGCUGAUGUGAUGACGGCAGGCCUCCCAAGGACCGUUGCGAGGAUCGGAUGAGCUAGUGGAAGGCACACAGAGCGGGGCCCACCACACCUGUUCGGGAAUGGCCUUCUUCCGCCUUCAUUAUUUCAAAAUGGGCACCAAGUACCCGGGCCCGGGACAAAAGACACUGGCCCAGGCCUUAGUCCAAUAACCCCGAGUUGGCUCAGGCUCUGGGUUGGAAAGAAGCCAUCAGCACGGGUCAAGGUGAAGGCCCUCAGGGCUGCCUCUUCUCAAAGGUCACGGGAGGCAUUUGGAGUGGAAGGGGAGGGGCUUGGUCUCAAGGCACCAGCGAGGCAGGCGGCCCUCUCCUCCUCCCCGGCACUGAGUGUCAGAGAGGCUGGACAUCACCAGGACCUGUCAGACCAGUUCCCUCAGAUGUGCCUGAGGUCCCAGGCCGCUGCAUGUGAUGGACAGGAAAGACGGCAGGGACACCAUGGCCAGUGCCACACCCACGGCCACCUGCCGGGAAGCACAGCCCAGCCACAGCACCAGGGUGAUGGCAGCAGGACCUGUCCCUCAGGCUACGGGAGCCUUGGUAAAGUGACUACCUGGGCUCUCACAGGGACCCCAAACCCUAAACUGCUACUCUUUUUCACAGGGUUGGGCAGAAGGAGGUUUGCUGUUUUAGAGAAGAGAGCAAACUCCCAGAACAACAGCCAUUGGAAAAACAGCAGCCCAGCCCCCGCCCGCCUGUGGGCACCAUCAGAGAUCCCCACAAUCUUGCCCCUAGCCCUAGAUAUCAGACAGCAUCUCAUGUGUUCCAAAGACGAUUUUCAUCACAUUCCAGCGCUGCCGCGCCGUCCCUGGUAGUCCUUUCUGCAGCUAACCUCAAGCCCUCCUGCUGCACCACAGAUGCUCUGUGAGGUUGAUGGCUUUGCCCUUGAGACUUUUAAUAGGAAAGCGCAAGUGGAGCCUGGAUGACCCCCACCCUGACCCCUUCACCCUGGGGUACACAUGCGCUGUGGGCACUGCUCCCUGAUGGAAGUCUUGCCUGGCUCCAGAGUUUUCCACUGCCAAAGGUGCUCCAGUCAUCCUGGGUUCUCCUGACUCCUCAGAACCCCCCCGCCCCAGUCCCUGCAAGCCUCAGGACAAGCAGUGUCCACAUGACCCUUCAGUCUAGGAUCAAAAAGCAGAAUCAGCCCAGUUCUGCUGUACAGGAAAGAAGCGGUUGCCACGGUGACCCGUCUGGCACACCCAGAUGGGGCUACCUGGGCACCGAGACAGUGGAACAUGUAGCUGCGGUGCGCGCAGCCCACACCCCACGCCUCCCUGACCCAUGCGCACCCCAGAACCCCAGAGCAAGCCACCCCCAGUUGCUGGCCCAGGCGGAGCU